UUAGCCCAACUUUGAACGGACUCUUAGUCCGCCUACAUCUUCAAUAUUGAACACUGUUGAUUGAACGGAGGAAGAAAUUGAAGGUUUCUCAAUCGGAUUGUUCAUCAUGGAGAUAAGAGGUAAACCGCACAAGACAUUAUAGGACUUCAAGUGGUAUUCAUCUUCACCGCUGACUGUUUAAUCGGAUUCCUUGAACGGAGAGGUACACCGGUCAAUUUCAGGUAAGGUUUAUUUGUCAAGCGGUAUUCAUCUUUCACCGGACAUGUUUCAAGCGGUAUUCAUCUACACCGGUCAUCACUUGACCGGAUUUCAUGCGGUGUUCAUCUACACCGGUCACCAUUUGACCGGAUUAGGGUUCUGAUCCAUUCAGCAGCAACUAAGCAGCAGCAACAGCAGGAUCUGUUUUGCAUUUUGUGCUGUGUUUGUGGUGUUUGAAGCAGUGAUGUUGUUUAUGCAGAUUCACAGUAACAGCUGUAGCUCCACAACAAGUUUAUCACAGCAGUUCAGCAGAUUGCAAAACAGCACAGGUUUCUGUUAUGUUCUGAUUGUGUGCAUACAGGUUUCUGUUCUGUUUUGUGUUGGUUGUCUGUGUUGUUUUUAAAACUACACAGCAGCAGAUUCUUAACAGCAGGUUCACAGUAUGCAGCAGCAGCAACAAGUUGUGAUCUUGACAGCAGCAGAUUAAGUAUACUGGCAAUUACAGCAACAGUGCAUAGAUCUGUCAUCUGGUUUGCAAAGAAAAGAAGAAGACUGCUUAAAGUCUGUUUAGAGUGUUGUUUAAGAGCUGCUUUGAGAUUUUGUAUUGCUUACAUUCGACUGAUUUGUAUUUUCACAGGUUUAUGCAGAUUUUGUAGUUACUUGGUAYAAACUUAACUGUCAAUUUUGGUGCAGGAAUCUGUCAAAAUCUGUUGGUGUGAAGACUGCAGUCGACAGCGAAAAAGAAAGCAGCAGUAGUACUUCAAAGUACAAUUUGAAAGGCUUUAAGGCAUAGCAAAGAUUGGGCAGUGAGGAGACUUAGUCAUAUACUGCAGUAGCUAACACAAUCACAGAUUGGCUUUGUGGAAUUAACAUCAA